UACAGAGGGUGCAAGCGUUGUUCGGAAUUAUUGGGCGUAAAGCGCACGCAGGUGGCUGAGAAAGUCGAUUGUGAAAGCCCUGGGCUUAACCUGGGAAUUGCAGUCGAAACUACUCGGCUAGAGUAUGGGAGAGGGUAGUGGAAUUCCACGUGUAGCGGUGAAAUGCGUAGAGAUGUGGAGGAACACCAGUGGCGAAGGCGGCUCUUUGGUCUGUAACUGACGCUGAGGCGCGAAAGCGUGGGGAGCGAACAGG
rnacentral:rRNA from 1 species